GAUUGCCCUCAGUGUCGUGCCAGUCCCUGGUUGAUUCAGGCUUAUUUCUCGCAACUCGUAUCGUUUGUUCGGAAUUCUUCUUUCUAAAUUUGCAUCAUAUUGGAAAAUCAAUCGACUAUUUAAUUUUGACUUACGACUAUAGUAAUGUUAUUUAUUAUUUGCGCGUUUAUUAUCCGGCCGGUUUUUAAUCGCGCUUAAAGUGUGAAUCGGAUACAUAUCGCCACCAUUUUGAUUUAUUCGUCAUUAGGAUGACUUAUCGUGCUGAUGUAAGUAACUUAAAGAAAGCGCACAUUGUUUGUUUUCUCCACUGUAUGAUUAUAAUAUUACUAAACCAUAUGAAAUAUCUUUGUUUUAACUAAUGUUUUCGUUUUUAUUUGUUGUAUUUGCCGUGCCUUGGAGUCCGAUACCCUCUUCAUUGGAUCAUCAUUUGGCUAACAGCAGUGGCGUCCGUCUUGUCCAUGUUCCAGUGACCUUCAUGCAUCGCGGGAAAGAAAGAUAAAGUGCGCAUUUUCCGGGUUUGCAUGCGAUGUAGGCGGCGCAGUAACAUCAACGUGGCGUUAAAAGGUAAUUAUAAAAGAUUCGGCAGCAGAACGCGCAAUGAUAGAUUUUCUUUUUUUUUGUGUUCUUUGUGUUAUUCAUGUUGAAGUUGAAUUUUUGUUUAAUUGUGUGUGACUUGUGUUGUCUUCCCUAUGUACUAAUGUGUAUGUUACUUCUCUUUAUAUAGGAUGUGUGUGUUUUAAUGUUUGCUUGCACCUUGUGUUGUGUGUUUCAAACUAUUUAUAAUGAAUAUCAAUAUAACUAUUGUAAAAAAUGAGCGAUUAUGAUAAAAAAAUUGGCUGCAAUUCUUGCGGCGAAAACAAAAACCCUCAAUACAACUUUUACAGAUAUUAA